ensembl:snRNA U6 U6 spliceosomal RNA
GUGCUCACUUCGGCAACACAUAUACUACAAUUGGAACAAUACAGAGAGUGGUAUGGCCCUUGUGCAAGUUUGACAUGUAAAUUUGUAAAACAUUUCAUAUUUCU